AUACUUACCUGGUGUCGGACCCUCCGGUGAUCAGCCAGGCUGGGGUCCCGUGUGGAGGCCCGCCAUUGCACUGCGGCGGGUUGAAGCACGCCACUUUCCCAAACUGGGAUAGCUGGGGCAUGCAAUUUUUGGUAGUGGGGCUCGGCGUUCGCGCCAGCCCCUA
rnacentral:snRNA from 1 species